ACAAGUCAAUCGGAAGUGACAAGCGCAUGAAAGCAACACGUACGCACAACAAUUUCAGCCAACCAACCACAUCCCUACAGAGUACAUACUCUCUACACAGGCGCGCGCACACACACACAGAGAGAGAGAGAGAGAUCACUGACUCCUCCUCCUCCUCUCUUCUUUCUUCUUCUUCUUCUUUUCGCCUCCCAUCAUGCCGUGCAGUGUUUAAACAUGUGGGCUAUGGUUCUCUUUUUACAUGCUUGGAGCCAUUAUGAGUAUCAGCCGUUCAUAUUGGCGUAUAUGUUAGUUGAGAGAGUCAUGCGAAUUCACUGUUAGAUUUGUUCAGAUACAGAUAAAAGAGAGGACAUUUGGUACCUUUUACCGACACCUGCACGUCUUGCAUGAGAGAGAGAGAGAGAGGAUUCUUGACUUUGUGGUGGCUACAGCCUUUCUUGGUCCCAAUAUAACCCUAAAUCGUCAUUAAAGCCUUUCAUUCCUGGAGCAUGAGGAGUGGGAAUCAUAGAUUUAUGGUAACUUUCCUUAAAUGGGUCUCACUGUGUUAUCAGAUUUCUGGGUAGCUUUGUCUUUAUAUUAUUUACUUCCCUACUCAUCAUCUCCUCUCAUCUUUGCACUCUUCUCUACUUUGAUACUCAUCUCCUCUCCUCUCAUCUUCUGGGACAUAGAACUUGACAGAAGAGAGUGAGCACACAGAGGCAUUUGUAUAAAUCUAUACCCUUUCUUUUGCGUGCUCACUUCUCUUUCUGUCAGCUUCCGGCGCCGGAAUUUGAUCUCUCUCUGGUGAUUAAAAUUCCCGGCCUGUUUCUGUUCCAUGUUGAUACAUAUAUAUCCUCUCUUAUUUUCUCUUUUUUCCUCCCCUUAUCUGCUUUCAAAGACCUCUUUCAUUCGAAGAGGAAGAAGAUUUGAUAUGAUGGUUGAGCAAACAGAGAAAAAGAUGAGCCAAUACCAUUGAUUAAUACCAAAAGGAGAUAUGUCUUUGUCUUUGUUUCAGUUUUUAAGUUUAUGCAUUACAGUAUAUAUUUAAUUUUGAAAACUGGGGCUUUUGUUGGUGUAUAGUACCCGUGAUUACUGUGCAGAUUUAGCGGCAAAACACUGUUGAUAGCAUGGGGAGGGGUUGAUCUACGUUAUCUAAGUCUUAUAGCAUGGUCCUUACUUGCAAAACCCUCUUUUUUCAUUUUUAAUCUGGCUCCAUGCUCUUAUAAUUUUCUUUUUCAUUCGUGCUCAUGGUUUUAUGUAUCAAGUUCGAGGUUUGCUUCUGAUUGGAGAGUCUAUUCACCUGAAUCUAGUAGCUUCAAAACUUUCAGAAGAAAAAAAAAAGGUUUUCCCUUUUAUGGGUUCAAAAACCCUAUUCUAGGAUAGGGUUGCUUGUGUUGAAAGUGCACAAGUUAUAUCUUGUGGCUUCUUUUUGCUCUGAUUUUCGACAUUAUCUGGUCACUUUCACAGUACUCAAGUGGGUUCUGACAAAGGUUUUUAUUUCUUUUAUUGAUGUUCUGAAUUGUUUGUUUCAAAGUAGUUGUUUCUCUUUUAUGUAUAUUUGUGUGGAUGAUUGAGCAGAUGUGAUGUUUUUGGGUACAUAUCGGGGGGGGGGGGGGGGGUGAGGGACUCAUUAGAUUAGGUACAAUGACGAUGCUUCUUUCUACAUAUGGGAAGUUUUCUGCAACUUUUUUUUUUCUCUCUUUGCUCGUAUGUUCUGAGUUUUUGCAGAUAGAUGGGUAAUCAAUCAAGGAAUCGUCAACUCACUUGUCAUAUGCGAAAAAUCCCCUAGAAGAAGUCUAAUCGAGAAGAUGUUGAAUAUCUGAGCGGGCAGUUCAAAUUUAGAAAGCAAAUGUUUGUGUCCAUGGACAAGGUGUUUCCAGUCUUCAAUCCGAAGUGAGGUUUUGAUGUCACCAUCUCGAGCAACAGUUUUAAGUCCAACACACUAGACAGACAAUUUUAUAUAGCAGCAGUGAGUGUCUACUCGAACAGGAGCCAUUUCCAAUCACACAAAUAACAAGUGAAGCAGAAAUUCAAGGCAAUUAUUUCAGAUAUGAAACCUCCUCUCUCUCUCUUUUUUUUCCCCAUUUUCUUUGUGCCCAAGAGGAUAAAUCAUCAGAGAUGCAUCCUUUGCUAAGCAUAAACUGCACUGAUAUUCAUAACCAGGGGGUGAAAGGCGUAGAACUAGUGAAGCCUAGUUGUAAAUGCAUGAUCACGAUUCCUAUGGUUAAUUCGAAAAGUUGUUUAGGGUUCAUAUGGCACCAAAAAAUGAUUCUCUUCUAUCAACAAAAUUUCAACAUCAAACACAAAGUGUGAGUCUUAUACACACGACAGUAGCAGCAUAAACCACACAGAGCAUCAAUUUGAUUACCUUUGGUGCUGCAAUAGAUUUCUGACGCACUAUAUAUUUGUGCAGAAGCCAUAGAGUAGUGCUUCGACUGAGCUUCAAAGAUCCUACACAGGGACAAAGCAGGGAAAAUAUGAAAAGAAAAUUCGUCCACACCUGACCCCGUGCUUAUUGAAUCGGAAUCUACCAAAUCUGUAGGCUGGAGAGGUGAUGAAAAAAUUUUCCAAUCGGGUUGAGAAAGAGGAGAAUGGACAAAACUGGCGAUGGCGGGAAAUAGACAAAUAAAUACCAAACUCUUUCUUCUCAGUUAUCAUAUGGGCGCUAUCCGUGUGCUUAAAAAAAAAAAAAAAUACGGCAACAGUUACCUACUUGUGUAGAAAGCAACUUAUUCUCUACUUUUAUUUAUUAUUAUCUUUAUUAAAAUUGGAUUAGUUUGUGAAGUUUGAUUGCUCACUGUCGCAGAGACUUGUAAAUACUUUUUGAGAGUAGAGUGGGCUUGGUGCUCCAUGUGCGAAACGUGGCUCCACUCAGGUUGUUGUCCAGUCUAAUCGCUAUCCAAUAGCAUAUAGUUGCCAUUUGCCGAUAGGUUGAAGAAAUAAAAAAACACUGUUCUUGGAUAGCGAGCUGGAGUAUCCUGUUCUUCGCUAUCUUGCUAUGAAAACACUGUUCUUCGCUGAUUCCAUUGAA